AGUCGAACGGUAACAGGAAUUAGCUUGCUAAUUUGCUGACGAGCGGCGGACGGGUGAGUAACGCGUAGGAAUCUGCCUGGUAGUGGGGGACAACAUGUGGAAACGCAUGCUAAUACCGCAUACGCCCUACGGGGGAAAGGAGGGGAUCUUCGGACCUUUCGCUAUCAGAUGAGCCUGCGUGAGAUUAGCUAGUUGGUGGGGUAAAGGCUCACCAAGGCGACGAUCUCUAGCUGGUCUGAGAGGAUGAUCAGCCACACUGGGACUGAGACACGGCCCAGACUCCUACGGGAGGCAGCAGUGGGGAAUAUUGGACAAUGGGCGCAAGCCUGAUCCAGCCAUGCCGCGUGUGUGAAGAAGGCCUUCGGGUUGUAAAGCACUUUCAGAGGUGAGGAAGGGUGUGCCGUUAAUACCGGUAUGCUUUGACGUUAGCCUCAGAAGAAGCACCGGCUAACUCUGUGCCAGCAGCCGCGGUAAUACAGAGGGUGCGAGCGUUAAUCGGAAUUACUGGGCGUAAAGCGCGCGUAGGUGGUUUGUUAAGUCGGAUGUGAAAGCCCAGGGCUCAACCUUGGAAUUGCACCCGAUACUGGCAGGCUAGAGUACGGUAGAGGGGUGUGGAAUUUCCUGUGUAGCGGUGAAAUGCGUAGAUAUAGGAAGGAACAUCAGUGGCG
rnacentral:rRNA from 1 species